GAUGAACGCUGGCGGCGUGCUUAACACAUGCAAGUCGAACGGUGAAGGCGGAGCUUGCUCUGCUGGAUCAGUGGCGAACGGGUGAGUAACACGUGAGCAACCUGCCCCUGACUCUGGGAUAAGCGCUGGAAACGGCGUCUAAUACUGGAUAUGAGCUGCGAAGGCAUCUUCAGCAGCUGGAAAGUACUGCGGUCAGGGAUGAGCUCGCGGCGUAUCAGCUUGUUGGUGAGGUAACGGCUCACCAAGGCGUCGACGGGUAGCCGGCAUGAGAGGGUGACCGGGCACACUGGGACUGAGACACGGCCCAGACGCCUACGGGAGGCAGCAGUGGGGAAUAUUACACAGUGGGCGAAAGCCUGAGGCAGCAACGCCGCGUGAGGGACGACGGCCUUCGGGUUGUAAACCGCUUUUGGCAGGGAAGAAGCGAUAGUGACGGUACCGGCAGAAAAAGCACCGGCUAACUACGUG
rnacentral:rRNA from 1 species